UGGCAACGUGCAAGAGAUGGUGAUCCAGGU
rnacentral:piRNA from 1 species